GCGGAUAUAGCUUAAUAGGUAAGAGCAGCAGACUGUGGCUCUGAAGGUUACGAGUUCAAUUCUCGUUAUUCGCC
rnacentral:tRNA from 1 species